CAAACUCCGAAUGCUAUAUAAUGUUUACUUGCAGUGAGGGCUUGGGUGCUAAGGUCCAAGUCCGAGAGGGAAAGAACCCAGACCAUCUGCUAAGGUCCCCAAAUGUAUACUAAGUUGAUCAAACGUGGUCAGACUGCUUAGACAGCUAGGAUGUUGGCUUGGAAGCAGCCAUUCAUUUAAAGAGUGCGUAACAGCUCACUGGUCGAGUGGUCUUGCGCGGAUAAUGUAACGGGGCUCAAGCUAGACACCGAAGCUUCGGGUUCGAUCUUUGAUCGAGCGGUAGGAGAGCGUUCCCAUGGCAGUGAAGCGGCGGGGGAACCCAGCCGUGGAGCCCUGGGAAGUGAGAAUGCCGGCAUGAGUAACGAAAGAGGAGUGAGAAUCUCCUCCACCGAUUUCCUAAGGAUUCCUAAGUAAAGUUCGUCUGCUUAGGGUUAGUCGGGACCUAAGGCGAGGCCG
rnacentral:rRNA from 1 species